CUGGAGUGCAGUGGCACUGUCAUAGCUCACUGCAGCCUCGAACUCCUGGGCUCAAGCCAUCCUCCCGCCUCAGCCUCCCGAGUAGCUGGGACUACAGGCGUGCACCACCAUGCCCAGCAAUUGACUCUGAUUUUCGAAUUUUAGACUCACUUGUUAUUUCAGGGUAACUGUUGUCACCUGAUAACGUCUUUGGUUUUAUUUUAUCUAGGAUGGAUUUUAAGGCUAACAAAAUAUGAUUAUAUUUUCAAAGUCAUGUUUCAAAGAUUAAGGACUUGGAAGCAUUUCGAUAUGGUAUUAAGAAAAAAAGAGAACAUAAAAUUGUGUAUACAGUGUGAACUGAAUCCUCAUAAUACAUAUGUACAUUCACAGAAAAAAGACAAAUAACUUUCAGUAUUUCUCCUAAAGUGUUAUCAAUGAUUAUUUCCAGGCGAGAACGUUAUGAAUUAUUUUAAAUCUUCUAUAUACUUUUCUGUACGUACUCAAGUUUUUAUAAUAAGCAUGUUUUGCUUAUACAAUCAGAGAAUAAUGUGUGCUAUUUAUAAAAAGGAAUAGAUAUUUGGGGACGAGAUGUUUUUGAAAGGUACACAGUGACUAGCAUAUGCAGAGAAAAAAUAGAGCAAAACAUAAAGCCAUUUUGCAUUGACCUUAAUCAACACGGUCGCCCAGAUGGAUAUUAGAGAGGGAGUAAGGGUGACUGGAGGAAGGAAUGUUCGUUUGAGUUUCUGAAAUAUUCUUUUCCUGCAAAUGCUUCUGCUCUGCACCAUGUGUGGAAACACUAGUUAUAAUGAGCAAGGGAAAGUUUCUCUCUGUAGAAGCCCCAGAAGUCCUCUCUUAUUUAUAUUUAGGGUUCUGCUUUCCUAGUGGAACUUGGUGGUUUUAUCCGUGGACAUCUGCCAGAAAUCAAACAGAAGGGACAGGUAGGAGAAAAUGGUCUGUAAUUUUGGCUCUAGGGAUGUGUGCCAUAUAAUAAAUGUCCUCAGCUUGGUGUGUGUUUCUGGUAUGAAACUGUCAAGAACUCCCCUAGAAAGCUCUGAUUGUUUGGGUUCACUGGCAGGAAAGCGUGAUCCUGCCGUUCCUCCCAGGUGGAUAUGAUAAGCCCCUCCAACCCCCACUGCUCUUUCUUUUUGAAAUGAGGGGUAAAGACAACAAUAAAAGCCAAGAAUCGUUAAAUCUCAGGAGAGAGUGGAGAGGUGAAAGAAGAUCUGUUUUAUGGUGCACCUUCAAUAAAAAAGAUUUACAGGUAAGUCAUUUUCUCUUCUUUCUAGGCACUCGAUUGAGAGGAUUCGGGAAACUAAACCCCAGGGAGAGCUUGGCAUAAAUAAAAAAAAUCUGACAACUGUCAAAACAAACAGCAACCAAUCAGAAAUACAAUGUCGAGGGAGGCUCCAGUUCCAAAAUGAUUCAGAGAGAGUGUUUGCUUGUUACAGCGAGAAUACGGACUUAGAGGAACAUUGGGAAGGAAUUAGGAUGCUCUUCAAAAUCCCAAACUUGGAGACCGAUUGAGUGAGUGGGAAUCCAUUUUAUGUCGGCUGCCCCAGAUGGCCUCUGGAAGACAUAGGCUGCUUGGAGGAAAGAAGAGGGGAACUCUGAGGUCUGGCACACGGGAAGACCAAGUCCAGCUUUCACACGUAGGAGCUGUGUGAUCCCCCUGGGCCUCAUUUGUAAAAAGGAAAAAACAACUGACUGUCCCCCUGCAAUCAAGGUGGUCCUGUGAAUUAAAUUGGGAAAUUCAUGUAAAGAACCUGUGCUAUGCCCAGCUAAUACUAGGAGAUUCUCUCUCUCUCUCUCUCUCAAUCCCUUUUGUCUCGCUGCUUCUCUCUCUCUCUCUCUCUCCCAUUAGUUUUUCACCUCCAGCAUCCUCUCAUGACUCAUGAUAUGUUUACCAGUGACCUCUGCUUGUCAGAUCUGAUGGUCAGUUAUCUGUCCUCAUCUUACUUGACCCAUCAGUGGCAUUUAAUUGGUUGCUCACUCCCUCCUUGAACCCCUUUCUCACUUGCCUUCGGGCACCCCAUCGCUUGGUUCUCUUCCUACCUCACUGGCUACUCAUUCUCAGUCUCUUUGUGGGUUCCUCCUCAUCUUCUAGACCCCUAAAUGGUGGAAUGCCCAGGUCUUCAUCCUCAAACCUCUCUUCUCUAGAUAUCCUUACCCUUCAAGGCUGCUUAUCUCAGCCCAAGUAAAGCCCAGCAUCCUUUGCUGGGCUAUAAGACCUUACCCAAUCUAUCCCCCUUCCGAAUCUUCUUUGCCACCUCUCCUACCAUUCACCCCUCCAGCUCACCCAAUCUACUUGCUGUUUCUGGAAGAUGCCAAGCAUAUUCUCCCUUCAAGCCUCUUUGCUAACUGUUCUCUCUACCUAGAGCCUCACUACCUCACUUCUUCAGGUCUUUGCUCAAAUGUCAGAGUGACCCUCCCUAGCCACUGCAUAACCUCACAACUUCCUACCGGAUCAUUCUGCAUCCUUCUCCUUACUUUAUGUGUCUUCAAAGCACGUAUCAACACCUAACUCAUUUUAUAUUUAUUUGUGCAUUCACUCUUUCUCCCAUCAGAAUGCCAGCUCCAUAUCUUCAGAUUCUAUAACAGUGUUUGGCACUAAGGGGGUUUCCAAUAACUAUGUGUUGAAUGAAUGCAUUCACGGAGGGUAACUGCUGUUGUUCUUCCUAAUGUCAUUAUUUUUCUCAACUUUAAGAUUCCAAGGUUUAUGCUUACAAACCAAGGGGUAGAGCCAAUGACUUCCCAAGAUCCCUUUUGGUUUUCCAACCUCUGGAUCUAUAACACAGCAGAUGUAAAUUGCUUACAUGGGAACGUGUCCAAACAGAAUUACUGAUGCUCAAGGGCUUCAGGAUCACCACACUCCUGGACGUCCUAGACUUCCUAAAAAGUCAUUCUGAGCAAUAUGGUUAGACAGCUAUUUAGACAUGUCUGUUUUGGAGGCAGUUUGACCUAUGGUGAGAAUGUCAAAUGAAACAAAAACAUUCUGACAUUUUAAGAGCUUAAUUUACUCACGAUAAAAGGCAUAGCAUCUGAAUAUGUCAAGUUUAUAAGACGUGGGCUUUAGAACAGGAAUAUGUACCUCCAUACUGCAAGGGCAUGCCCGUAAGUUGAUUGACUUGUUAAAGGAGCAAGCCAGUAACACAUUGGAAAUAAACGGAGGAUGCAUCUGCAAAAUACAUCUGAAAGUUGGUUUCGGUGGAUCUGUCGCUCUCACUGCAGUUUGGAGUUGGGUUAUAUGUGAAAUUAAACAGUUGCCAAGAUGAUUCAAACAGAUGCAGCUCAGAGGCCACCCCAGAAGGAGAGGACCCCAGUGAUGGUUGCCAGUCAGUAGGAUGUGGUGAAAACAGCAUAGACUUUCGAGCCAUACAGACUUGAGAGUGAAUUCUAAUUCAGUUGUGUAUAAGCUGAGUGAUGUCAGGUAAGUUACUUAGCAUCUCUGGGCUUUGCUUUCUAUCUUCAUGUGGCAGAGACUACUAUGAACCACCCAAGGCUGUUUUCCCUAUAGUCUAGCACUCAGCCUGACCACAUUUCUCAACCUUCCUUGUGGUUGGGUGUGACCACAGGCCUGAGCUCUGACCAGUGGCUGUGAUGAAUGGGAUGUAUGUCACUUCUAAGCCUACCCAUAAGAGCCUCUCCUAGAUGAUCUGCCAUGAUUUUUCUCCUUCUGGUUUGAGGCAGGGGAUCAUGGUGACUUCGGAAGCUGUGUGUUGGAGACAGUGGAGCUGUAUGACUGAAAGGCAUAUGUCCCCGAAUCAAUGCUUGGAGGAGAGCUGCCUGUUUUGGACUUAAAGUGAAUGAGAAAUAAACUUCUAUGAAUUGAA